rnacentral:lncRNA from 1 species
AUAUGUAUAGUCGAACUUAAUUAUUACCUUUGAUAUCAAUAUCUUUAUGAAGAUUUGGAUUUGACAUUUAAAUAAGCUCUCUAGUAUCAUGCAGCACUGUAAUGUUGCGAAACUUAUUACAAUUGAAAAAAAAACAAAAAUCAAGAAUGAACCGUGGCAGACCUGAAUAGCAUUGGUUACAAUUUCGUGAUUCCAUAUACUUGGCUCAAUCUGAUCUGAUAUGAUGAGUCUGUACUCCAAACUGUUUACUUACUGUUGAUGCAGAGAAAAUUGAAAAUCAUCAAGAAUGCAACUUUUGCCGCCGUUGAGCCGAGUCACCAGUACUGCACUUUUACUUAGUUUUGGAAUUUUGCGAUAUGAUUAUUCACACUUUUGGUAUCAAUCGUAAAAAGAAAUAAUCAUAUCGAUCGAUGUCACUAAGGCUUCGGGUGCUGUUGAUAUUACCAUCGUGUAUGCAUAAUGGAUUUGUGC